rnacentral:rRNA from 1 species
UGCCAGCAGCCGCGGUAAUACGGAGGGUGCAAGCGUUAAUCGGAAUUACUGGGCGUAAAGCGCGCGUAGGCGGUACGGUAGGUCAGAUGUGAAAGCCCCGGGCUCAACCUGGGAUGGUCAUUUAGAACUGGCAGACUAGAGUUUUGGAGAGGGGAGUGGAAUUCCAGGUGUAGCGGUGAAAUGCGUAGAUAUCUGGAGGAACAUCAGUGGCGAAGGCGGCUCCCUGGCCAAAGACUGACGCUCAUGUGCGAAAGUGUGGGUAGCGAACAGGAUUAGAUA